GUAGNUGAACUGCGGAAGGAUCAUUGUUGAU
rnacentral:rRNA from 1 species